UACAUGUGGGGCAAGCGUUGUUCGGAAUUACUGGGCAUAAAGGGUGCGUAGGCGGUUUGUUAAGUCACUGGUGAAAGUUUUCGGCCCAACCGGAAAAUUGCCUGUGAUACUGGCGAACUUGAGUGCGUGAGGGGUGGGGGGAACGAGCAGUGUAGCGGUGAAAUGCGUAGAUAUUGCUCGGAAGGCCGGAGCCGAAGGGGCCCCACUGGUACGUAACUGACGCUGAGGCACGAAAGCGUGGGGAGCAAACGGG
rnacentral:rRNA from 1 species